rnacentral:lncRNA from 1 species
CUUAGCCACGCCUCGCUAAAAGCUCAUUGGGUGGAUGCCUCUAGCAGGUGUGGUCUUUGUAACAGAAGUAAACAAGCUUAAAGCACAAUGUUUGGGAAAAAAUAAUCUGUUGUCUGACACAUAUUCUGUUUUUAUCAAAGUAAAUAGAAUUCCGUUGUGUUUCGUCAUUUCGAUACCAGAUCAGCUUGGUCACUGCGAGAUCAGCCAUCCAGGUACACCAUGAACUCUGUCAUCCAGGACACCUCCGACGACAGAUUCUAGGAUUCAGCACUUUUGAUGCACGUGCCCGGGGUCCCACGUGCUCCUUUCCACCCCACAUCUGUGCCUUUCCACAUACACAGAGUACUCAGCUGGGCACUUACACAAGUCCACCUUGUUCUAGAAGAUUUCAAACAUCUGCUCACAAAAAGCAUCUCAAACCCAGGGCUGAAGAAAGGGUCGCGGUGAACCGGAGCCCAUCCCAGAAGCAUGGGGCACAAGGCUGGAGGAGGUAUACCAUGAACAGGACACCAGUCCAUCACAAGUCAAACCCUAACCAUUCUCCAUAUAAAUAAAGAUAAAUAUGGUGGAAGUAGGAUAGAGGCAACAAAUAGCAAUCACUUUCUCCUCCACAGCUAAACUGCACUCACACUCAGCAUCGGAAAAGGAAAGAAACAAUGCUAACAUGAAGCAAAAUGCAAAUUAAUGACCUUCAAGGCCAAUGUGAAUAAACA